rnacentral:lncRNA from 10 species
AGUUUUUCGCCGUCGAGGAGUUCCUGCAGAGCGGGCUCACCCCGCCCGGUUGCCAUUAGUUACCCGGACGCACCUCCCACCCCACCACCGGAAAAGGAAAGCUGAAGCAGAAAGGCUAAAAGCAACUUGCCCCCGGGGUCCUGAUAAGUUGGCAAAUUGGGAAUUAGACCCAGAUCUGCCUGACACCAGAGUCUGAGCCUUUUAACACUGCCUGUCUUUCCUGUGAAAACCAGACAGCACCCGCUCUCAUACUACUUCUGGCCAGGCUGGGUAGCUCACAACUGUAAUCCCAGCACUUUGGGAGGCCGAGAUGGGGUGGAUUGCUUGAGUCCACGAGUUUGAGACCAGCCUUGGCAACAUGGCAAAACCCCAUCUCUAC